GAUGAACGCUGGCGGCGUGCCUAAUACAUGCAAGUCGAGCGAACGGACGAGAAGCUUGCUUCUCUGAUGUUAGCGGCGGACGGGUGAGUAACACGUGGAUAACCUACCUAUAAGACUGGGAUAACUUCGGGAAACCGGAGCUAAUACCGGAUAAUAUUUUGAACCGCAUGGUUCAAAAGUGAAAGACGGUCUUGCUGUCACUUAUAGAUGGAUCCGCGCUGCAUUAGCUAGUUGGUAAGGUAACGGCUUACCAAGGCAACGAUGCAUAGCCGACCUGAGAGGGUGCUCGGCCACACUGGAACUGAGACACGGUCCAGACUCCUACGGGAGGCAGCAGUAGGGAAUCUUCCGCAAAGGGCGAAAGCCUGACGGAGCAACGCCGCGUGAGUGAUGAAGGUCUUCGGAUCGUAAAACUCUGUUAUUAGGGAAGAACAUAUGUGUAAGUAACUGUGCACAUCUUGACGGUACCUAAUCAGAAAGCCACGGCCAACUACGUG
rnacentral:rRNA from 1 species